GCAUUGGCAGGCAGAUUCUUUACCACUGAGCCACCAGGGAAGCCCAGUUACUAUUGUAACUUGUCCUUAAUGUGUCACCUCAUCAUAGCUGUCUUUAAAUGCCUCCAACAGUUUAUGUUUUCCUUCCCUGUUGCUUAUGUUGUUUUCUCACUAUUUGAUUAAAUAAUCUUAACAAUAUUUGAUAUUUUCAUUGAUCCAUUUAAAUAUUGAUUGAAGCAAUGGAAAAAAAUCCAUAUAUAAAAUAAACUAAAAUCUAUAAUUCUAUGGACUUUACAUUCCAAAAUGGGGUUCAGACUAUCAAAACCUGAAUAACAAAAAUAUUUAAUAUGGCUGAUUAUAAUAAAUGCUGUGGCAGAAACAAUGCAGAGAAGCUGGUAUUAUUUGAUCAGAACUGAUUUAUUUCAUAUGAUAGGAUGCUGCUUCUUUAGAACUGAGUUUUUGUUGCUUACUAUACCUUGGAGCACCUAGUGAGUUCUUUAAAAAAAUGGUUGCUGUAUCGUUAUCUCUCUACAUCCUGUUUUUUCCUUCUAGUUGCUCCUGUACUUUGAUAGUGAAGAAAUCUUACAGAAAUGUAUUUCUGAGAAAAAAAAACGAAAGAGGACUUUCAUUCUCACUAGAUAAGGUACAAUUCAGAAAAUGCAAACAAAAAAAAUAGUUUUGAGUGAUACAUUUUUCAUUUUCAUCACUGAUAUAGUUGACAGUUGGGUGAAGGGAAAAAAAAAGACAUGAGCCAUGAG
rnacentral:lncRNA from 1 species